rnacentral:rRNA from 1 species
UAAAGCUACAAAGAGCUAAUGGGGAAUGCCUUGGUACUGACAGCCGACGAAGGACGUGUAAAGCUGCGAUAAGCCACGGGGAACUGCUAAAAGGUCUUGAUCCGUGGAAAUCCGAAUGGGGAAACCCUCCAGAGUUAAAACUUUGGAACCCGUAACUGAAUACAUAGGUUGCGCGGAGGAAAGCCUGUGAACUGAAACAUCUUAGUAACAGGACGAAGAGAAAAUAAACCAAUGAUUCCGAGAGUAGCGGCGAGCGAAAUUGGAAGAGCCUAAAUUGUGUGUACGUGAUAGCCUGCAAGCGUUGUGCACAUGAGGUUGUGGGACUUGCAUCAUAUUUUGCAGAAUAUGGAUUGAGUUAGAAAAUUAUUUAUUAGUUAAAGUCAACUGGGAAGUUGCGCCAUAGAGAGUGAUAGCCUCGUAAACGACAAUAAAUAAUCUCAAGUAAGUAUCCCGAGUAAGGCGGGGCACGUGAAACCCUGUCUGAAUCCACCGGGACCAUCCGGUAAGGCUAAAUACUAGUCAGUGACCGAUAGUGAACGAGUACAGUGAUGGAAAGGCGAAAAGAACAGUGAGAAGCUGAGUGAAAUAGACCCUGAAACCGUUAGCUUACAACCAGUCAGAGCACAAUUAAUUGUGUGAUGGCGUGCCUGUUGAAGAAUGAGCCGGCGAGUUAUUUUUUGUUGCGAGGUUAAGGAGAUCAUAUCCGGAGCCACAGGGAAACCGAGUCUGAAUAGGGCGUUAAGUAACAGGAAAUAGACCCGAACCUUGGUGAUCUAACCUUGACCAGGAUGAAGCGUGGGUAACACUACGUGGAGGUCCGAACCAACCGAUGUUGAAAAAUCGGUGGAUGAGUUGAGGUUAGGGGUGAAAUGCCAAUCGAACCAAGAGCUAGCUGGUUCUCCCCGAAAUGCGUUUAGGCACAGCGUUGGAUUUAUCUUGCAGGAGGUAGAGCACUGGUUUUGUGCGGGCGUCGAAAUGAUGUACCAAACAAUGUCAAACUCCGAAUACCUGUAAUGUCAUUAUCCAGCAGUGAGGCUAUGAGUGAUAAGAUCCAUGGCCAAGAGGGAAACAGCCCAGAACGCCAGUUAAGGUCCCUAAUAUAUGCUAAGUGGUUAAGGAGGUAGAGUUACUGAGACAACCAGGAGGUUGGCUUAGAAGCAGCCAUCCCUUGAAAGAGUGCGUAAUAGCUCACUGGUCAAGUGACUCCGCGCCGAAAAUACACCGGGACUAAAGCAUAUAACCGAAGCUGCGUCAUAUAGUUUACUAUAUGGGUAGGGGAGCGUACUGUAGUAAGACGAAGCUAGAGUGAAAACACUAGUGGAUGAGGCAGUAGUGAGAAUGUCGGCAUAAGUAGCGAAAACAUUGGUGAGAAUCCAAUGCACCGAAAACCUAAGGUUUCCCACGGCAGGCUCGUCCGCGUGGGGUUAGUCGGAUCCUAAGCUCAGGCCAAACGGCGUAGGCGAUGGACAAUAGGUUGAUAUUCCUAUACUAUCUGAUAAUCGUUAUCAGAAGCGGAGGGACGCAAGAGGAUAAGCACGCAGUCGAAUGGAAGAGACUGUAUAAGCGUGUAGCUAGGUUUGACAGGAAAAUCCGUCAAAUCGUUAAUGUGAGGCGUGAUGUGGAGAGUCUACGGACUUGAAGGUGUUGACUCCAAAUUGCCAAGAAAAUCUUCGCUCUCGAGAUUAUUGGGUAUCCGUACCGUAAACCGCCACAGGUAGGUUGGUAGAAAAUACUAAGGUGCGCGAGACAACUCUCGCUAAGGAACUCGGCAAAAUCACCUCGUAACUUCGGGAGAAGAGGUACCCUGGUAGCGUGAAGCGAUUUACUCGUGAAGCGUGAUAGGGUCGCAGUGAAUAGGCCCAAGCGACUGUUUACCAAAAACACAGGUCUCUGCUAAGUCGAUCAAGACGAUGUAUAGGGGCUGACGCCUGCCCGGUGUCGGAAGGUUACGCGGAAAUGUUAGAAGCAAUUCAAAGCAUCGAAGCUAAGCCCCGAUGAACGGCGGCCGUAACUAUAACGGUCCUAAGGUAGCGAAAUUCCUUGUCAGGUA